GGGUCAGUAGGUUGGUCGUGCCACCGGUACGUACUGGUCUCACUGAUUCCUCCUUCCUGAAGAACCGUAAUGCCAUUAAUUUGGUGUUGCGGGGAAACAGGACUGUUACUUUGAAAAAAUUAGAGUGUUUAAAGCAAGCUAACGCUUGAAUACAUUAGCAUGGAAUAAUGAAAUAGGACGAUCGGUCCUACUUUGUUGGUUUCUAGGAUUGACGUA
rnacentral:rRNA from 1 species